AACGAACGCUGGCGGCAUGCCUAACACAUGCAAGUCGAACGAGACCUUCGGGUCUAGUGGCGCACGGGUGCGUAACGCGUGGGAACCUGCCCUUAGGUUCGGAAUAACUCCCCGAAAGGGGUGCUAAUACCGGAUAAUGUCUUCGGACCAAAGAUUUAUCGCCUUUGGAUGGGCCCGCGUUGGAUUAGCUAGUUGGUAGGGUAAAAGCCUACCAAGGCGACGAUCCAUAGCUGGUCUGAGAGGAUGAUCAGCCACACUGGGACUGAGACACGGCCCAGACCUCUAAGGGGGGCAGAAGGGGGGAAAAUGGGACAAUGGGCGAAAGCCUGAUCCCGCAAGGCCGCGGGAGUGAGGAAGGCCUUAGGGUUGAAAAGCUCUUUUACCCGGGAUGAUAAUGACAGUACCGGGAAAAUAAGCCCCGGCAAACUCCGU
rnacentral:rRNA from 1 species